CUCCCCCUUCGUCUUUGUGCGUCGCCCGUCAACCGCGUCCCUCGCCCAAUCCCUAUCCCCAUUCAACCGCGUCGCUCCCCCAAAACCCGGCCCCAAAUCACCGCCGUGCCGAAUCCCGGCCGCGCCCUAGCGCCUCGCCCCUGCCCCAAAUCUCCGCCGCGCCGCCAGCGCUGCGCCGUCGUUGCUCCCUUCGUCGGCCUCCUUCGACGGCGCCCGGACGUCACCAGCUCCCUCCAUCACUCUCACACCCCGCCGUCGCACACUUGGUGCUCGUCGUCCUGCCGAAUCGGCCGGGCUUUGCUAGGCCUCCCUGCCCAUCCCCUACCCUCGUGAAUGAGGGAUUGCAGGACAGAAGCCGCGUGCCUCCGCAUCAUCCACACCUCGAUGACCUCGCCCCCACACGUCGUCCUCCUCGGCGCUGCUUGGCAUGAGAUGCAAGCGACCGUGGCCUUAGGAUUUUGGGGGACGUACAGACGUUCGCCUCCAAUCCUAAUGAAGCAUUCGCUGACCACUGCAUACCAGAAUGGACAUUUUAAAUCAGCAUGUUGAAUGUGCGGAUAUAUCUACACACAAGCUUUGGUAUACUUGUUCUCUGCUGCUAUUCUAAAUUAAUUCCAUAUUUCUUCUCUUAUCUAUACAACUAAAAAGAGGCUAAGGGUGAUGUUUUUCUUCGUCUUUCAUCCCCCGUCCGAGCGGCGCCUCAUGGUCCUUCGUCGUCCGUCCUCGGGGUAACGAGGAGCGUCUGAUCGUCUCCCGUGCAAUCUGAGCGCUCCCACACCCUCACCCGACCAGCCUCCCACACAGCACGCCGCCUUCCCCAUCGGCUCUGCCCGACGCCCUCCCCCUCACAAAGGAAGAUGCUGCUGCUCGGGAGGAAAGGAGUGCAGCCACUUAACUUGCUGGCAAAAUGAUCGAGUCUUUGAAAUUCCAGUAUGUUCUGGUUAAUCUCCCCCCAGUUUUUGUCUUAGAAGAUUUUUGCAAGUCUUGGUUAACUUCCCAAGACCUCAUUUUCUUCAGUUAUCGCAAGUUCAUGUUUAUGAAGAAAAAGAACCCAUUUAAAUAUUCUCAAUAUUUCAGAACUUGGUUACAUACAAGGUUAGUUUUAACCAAAUUCAUGUGAAUAAGCUUCUGUGAAUUCUUUCUCCUUAUAGUGCCAAUACGAUUGUUGCAUGUGUAUUUUACGUUUUCCCACUGAUACUACGUGGUAUUAGUACUGGUUAUAAGAGAUUGUCUCGGAAAAUGACAUUAAGGAUGCUACCUAUAUUCAGUAAGUGACUAUGUACUUUUCUGAGUUCAGAGCGCAGGUCCAGAUAAGAUGCAAGGUACUAUUCAAAUUGAUAGGGUACUUUCAUAGUGGACUUUGUUACUAGUUACAUGGCAAAAGAUAAUGUGAUGAUUCUUAUUACCAGGCAGCAGCACUGCUCCGCGUAUUGAGGGAAUUUUUGCAGCUGGGGUACAAUGUUCUCCGCUUUCUGACUGAAUCCCUUGCAGAGAUUCUGAUGUGGUGCCCAUGAGUGAUAGCCACAACAAUAUGAUAGCUUAUGGGUUCAACGAUGUAACGUUUGGAGGCGACCUCACAGAAGCCAUGAUAUCCUUAAGACCGUUGAAAUUCACACGCUAUGAGUGCUGAAUUCAGGAAGGCCUGUUGCAGCAAUAUUUUAUUUGAUGAAGAUUAUGUAUGUAUAUGGAGUAGGUUAUAUCCUCAACUGCGCUAUACAUAUCCUGCAUUGAGUGUACGUGUUUAACUCUUCUCUGAAACGUUAUUUGCUUGUAAUAGUUCACUGUGGAGAAUUCACCAAGGGGAAUCUAUUUUGUUUACUGUAUUUUUUAAAUAAAAAGCUAUCACAUUGCACUUUGUA